ACUGUUUAUAACUCUAUAGGCCCUUCGCCCGUUGCAUGAAAGCCAAGAAAAACAAGAAAAAGGAGCACACAUCGCAUGGUACAAAACCAUCUAUCAUUACCAUUGUCAUGCCAUUAUACCUAAUUUUAUUUGCCUUCCUGUACAUACUAAUCUUUCAAACCCUCUUCAUGAUUAUCAUCAUACAUCAACUACAACUAAAUCCAUAAAACCGACGAAGGCUGAACACAAGACCUACAUAACCCGUAUGAUCAAACAAUGUUUUCAUUUGCUCUACUAAUACCAGUACAUGCAUAUGCUUACACCAACCAUUUUAUAUACCAUUGCAAAGGGGCACCCGACACUAUCUACUUUCUAAGCUUUGAUGGUCAUUGUACAUGGGGAAACAAAGUGAGGCUAUACAGGAAGCAGCUUACAAAUUUGAGGUGUCUCAUCGCUACAAGGAUGACCUUUGCCACUCGAGGAAUGGCAAGACCCUACACACAUCACCUGCAAUUAUAUAUGCAAUCCUUCUUAGUGUUGUUACCUUUCAUUUCCAAUAUUUCUUUUCUCAGUGUUGUUACCUUUCAUUUGCAGUAUUUCUCGGUCAGGUUUACCAAGAAAUAUCUCCGCCGCUGUAUUGACCCAAAGCUUUAUGGCUUGCCAAUAAAAUCUGGAGAUGGUAAUACCUGCAUCAAAGCCCGUCUAACCAAAGGAGUCGAUAACAGGGCAACAAUUACGGAAGGAUGGCAGACUUCUUCCCCGCAGCUAAUAUGAAGGAAAUAGAAAUAUAUGCCUUUGCCUUCAAGCGCAACCACAAGCGCCUGCGUCUCACCGUGCACGCCCUCUGAGCAUCGUGUGCAGUCUACUAAACUACAUAAUUAGCCUAUGAAGUUUUGUGUGUAUAGCUUCACCCUAAGAACCUGUUUGCUUUUGGCACUGGACUCUCUGGUCAUCAUGUUCAGUCUAUUUAGCUACCUAAAUAGCCUAUGAAGCUCUGUGUGUAUAGCUUCACCCUAAGAACCUAUUUACUUUUGGCACUACUUUGGUCAUGUAUAAUUUUGGAAUCCAUUGUGCUAUGUUAGAUCCAUGUAUAUAUCUAUUCCAAGUGCGUCUAAUCCUUGUU
rnacentral:lncRNA from 1 species